rnacentral:rRNA from 1 species
AUCAAUAAGCGGAGGAAAAGAAACUAACUAGGAUUCCCUUAGUAACGGCGAGUGAACCGGGAUGAGCUCAAAUUUAAAAUCUGGCGUCUUUCAGGCGUCCGAGUUGUAAUCUAUAGAGGCGUUUUCCGCGCCGGACCGCGUCCAAGUCUCUUGGAAUAGAGUAUCAAAGAGGGUGACAAUCCCGUACUUGACGCGACAACCGGUGCUCUGUGUUACGUUCUCAAUGAGUCGAGUUGUUUGGGAAUGCAGCUCUAAAUGGGUGGUAAAUUCCAUCUAAGGCUAAAUAUUGGCGAGAGACCGAUAGCGAACAAGUACCGUGAGGGAAAGAUGAAAAGCACUUUGGAAAGAGAGUUAAACAGCACGUGAAAUUGUUAAAAGGGAAACGAUUGAAGUCAGUCGUGUGAAAGGUAUUCAGCCGUCUCUGGCGGUGUAUUUGCCUUUCACGGGUCAACAUCAGUUUGAUCCGGUAGAAAAAGGCGGGAGGAAGGUGGCACCCUCGGGUGUGUUAUAGCCUCCUGUCAUAUGUGCCGGACCAGACUGAGGAACGCAGCUUGCCGCAAGGCCGGGGUUCGCCCACGUACAAGCUUAGGAUGUUGACAUAAUGGCUUUAAACGACCCGUCUUGAAACACGGACC